AAAAAAAAUCUAAUUAUUGCUGAUCCACUUCAACAGUCCCACAUGCUGUCUCUCCCCAUAAAAGAACGGAGAUCAGCGAAGGUAAAAUAUGAGUUUGUUGUAAACAUCAGCAUCACUAGAGCAAAUUCCACAUUUGGUGCCAUGACCCGGUUCAAUCCGUUGCACAAAGACCCACCCUUACUGUUUGGCAAGCCCUCAGUGACAUGAAAAAUGACUUGCUUACUCUGACUGGAUAAGGUGUCUAUUGGCAACCAGUUUAUUGCUGAACUGCAGAUCUGGUUUGCGUACACAUUUGAGAUUUGUACAGUAGUAAAAGAGGUCUUACACUAUGAAUGAUUGUUUAUUGUUACCAUAGAAAUGUAACGGUACACUAUUAAUGUAACAGUUUUGUGAUUCUACCCAGGAAAAGCUGCAGGAUGAGAGGAACAAGGAAUAUAAUAUGUUUCUCCGAGGGCAAGAGGGAGCACAGAAAAUAGGGAAAACUUCAACUACCCCACAGGCCCUGGAGAGAGAUCGUUUUGGCUCGAUUACUCCAAAGUACCCUGCUGGUUCUCUAGAGGUACAAACGCAAAAGUCCAGUCAGAACCCCGAGAACACCGUGUUCUCAAAAAGGGAUGUUGCCACUCUGACUGAGCCCAUUUCCGGAGUGGCUAAGGUAUCAAGGCCACGGAGACACUGGGGAGAGACGCCGGAUCGCUGGGGAGGCCCUCACCGAGAUCACACCAGUUCUGAUGAGGAGAUAGAGCUCCUAGAGAAGGAGAGGCACACAAAUGUACAGGAAGACACGGGCAAAACCAGGAGAGGAGGAAAAUACGACAACAGCUCUCACAGUCUACAAGCACCGACUCCAGCGCAAAGCAGAUCUGUCAACGAGCAGAACAUGACUGAGUUUGCAACAGGACUCAUGAUUGGUAAGACAAUGCGUGUUGGGUCAAAUCAAACUGUAUGUAGAAUGUAUAUAUAA
rnacentral:lncRNA from 12 species